GAAAUUGUAACUAUGUGAUUAAAAAUAAAAGACAUUUACAAAUAUUUAACUGUGUGGAGGUUCCUCAAAGAGUUAAAAAUAGAUCUGCCCUAUGACCCAGCAAUUGCACUGCUGGGGAUUUACCCCAAAGAUACAGAUGCAGUGAAACUCUGGGACACCUGCACCCCGAUGUUUCUAGCAGCAAUGUCCACAAUAGCCAAACUGUGGAAGGAGUCUCGGUGUCCAUCGAGAGAUGAAUAGAUAAGGAAGAUGUGAUUUAUGUAUACAAUGGAAUAUUACUCAGCCAUUAGAAACGACAAAUACCCACCACUUGCUUCGAUGUGGAUGGAACUGGAGGGUAUUAUGCUGAGUGAAGUAAGUCAAUUGGAGAAGGACAAAAAUUAUAUGGUCUCAUUCAUUUGGGGAAUAUAAAAAAUAGUGAAAGGGAAUAAAGGGGAAAGGAGAAAAAAUGAGUGGGAAAUAUCAGAAAGGGAGACAGAACAUGAAAGACUCCUAACUCUGGGAAACGAACUAGGGGUGGUGGAAGGGGAGGUAGGCGGGGGGUGGGGGUGACUGGGUGAUGGCACUGAGGUGGGCACUUGACGGGAUGAGCACUGGGUGUUUUGCUAUAUGUUGGCAAAUUGAACACCAAUAAAAACUAAAUUUAUAAAAAAAUAAAGGAUAAUUGUAUAAAGCAAAACAUAAUAAUGUUUUCUGGGAAUUAUGUAAAAGUAUGAUAUCAAUAACAAAUCCUUAUUUAUUAUUAUCAAUAAUAAAUCCUUAUUUACCUAUAGGUUUAUGCAUUUGCACGUGGAAUUUAGAGAAAUACAACAUUACUAUUUUGACUUUUUUGGAAAUACUUUUGAAUAAGCAUGAAGCAAGAAGAAAGUGUAACAAGGACUGAGGGAGAGAGCAGCAGAAGAUGAGAUCAUUUUGGAGAAUGUUCCAGGUCAGAAGCCUGUUGGACUUCUCAUUCAUAUAUAUAAUAUAUAUUUAUUAUAUAUAAUUAUAUAUAUUUAUAUUAUAUGUAUAUUUUAUAUAUUCAU
rnacentral:lncRNA from 1 species